GACGAACGCUGGCGGCGUGCUUAACACAUGCAAGUCGAACGGAAAGGCCCUGCUUUUGUGGGGUGCUCGAGUGGCGAACGGGUGAGUAACACGUGAGUAACCUGCCCUUGACUUUGGGAUAACUUCAGGAAACUGGGGCUAAUACCGGAUAGGAGCUCCUGCUGCAUGGUGGGGGUUGGAAAGUUUCGGCGGUUGGGGAUGGACUAGCGGCUUAUCAGCUUGUUGGUGGGGUAGUGGCUUACCAAGGCUUUGACGGGUAGCCGGCCUGAGAGGGUGACCGGCCACAAUGGGACUGAGAUACGGCCCAGACUCCUACGGGAGGCAGCAGUGGGGAAUAUUGCACAAUGGGCGGAAGCCUGAUGCAGCAACGCCGCGUGCGGGAUGACGGCCUUCGGGUUGUAAACCGCUUUCGCCUGUGACGAAGCGUGAGUGACGGUAAUGGGUAAAGAAGCACCGGCUAACUACGUG
rnacentral:rRNA from 1 species